rnacentral:lncRNA from 1 species
GAUUUCUGAAUGUUGAUCCCUGAUUUUCGAAUGAGGCAAAACACCUCUUAUAUAGGCAAACUUCGGACUUUCAAAAGUCCAGAUUUGAAACUCAAAAUUAUUAAAACCCAUAGUGUAAUGCGAGGGGCGAGUGAAAUCUUGAAAAGAUCACCUUUAUAGGCUCCUCAGACUUGAGACCUAAGAGCUCCUUCUGUUCUUGACUUUUCUUUUCGAUGUAACAAGGGAAAAAAGGUGGGAUUAUUGACGGUUGUGGCAAAGAAAAGUGAUGGAGGGGACUUGAAGUUG